UACGUAGGGGCAAGCGUUGUCCGGAAUUAUUGGGCGUAAAGCGCGCGCAGGCGGUCCUUUAAGUCUGAUGUGAAAGCCCACGGCUUAACCGUGGAGGGUCAUUGGAAACUGAGGGACUUGAGUACAGAAGAGGAGAGUGGAAUUCCACGUGUAGCGGUGAAAUGCGUAGAGAUGUGGAGGAACACCAGUGGCGAAGGCGACUCUCUGGUCUGUAACUGACGCUGAGGUGCGAAAGCGUGGGUAGCAAACAGGAUUAGAUACCCGGGUAGUCCCU
rnacentral:rRNA from 1 species